rnacentral:tRNA from 1 species
GCCCAUGUGGUGCAACUGGCAGACACGCUAUCCUCAGCAGAUAGAUCAAUUGGAAGUUCGAAUCUUCUCAUGGGCA